rnacentral:lncRNA from 1 species
CUCAGAAACAGUCAAAAAUAAAAAACAAAGAAAUUCCGACGGAGGUUAGGAAGAACUUAGAAAGAAAGGAAAGGAAAAGCAAAUAAGUGAAAAGGAAGUUUCAGAAAUGAAACUUCCCAGUCAGUGUCUCUGGGAAAGAAGAGGUUGGUGCUGCCAAGUGGUGCUCAGACCUGAACACACGGGAAGCUGACAUCUGUCCAUCACAUCAGCCCUCCUCUCCAGUACGCCUCUCCACCUGCGCCUCCGUGACAACUUUCUCCUUCAAGGUUUCGUCACAGCCUGUUUGUAGUUGUGUGGACCUUUUAACACACUUCUCUACUACCUGCAUUGCCCUGCAACACGAGGACCAGCUCUCCUUCCAGGGAAGUCAUUUUCCAUUUCUCAGAUGAAACAUGGGGGAGUAGGAAAGCAGAGACAUGGAACGAUUUUUCUAUUUCACCCAAGCUAAGUUUUUUUUAAGGCACAUAAUUUGGAGAAUGAAUUUCAUUUUUGGAAUUUGGUCCUAAACCUUUCUAGUCUAGCAUUAUACAUAUCGAUUUUUCCUGGCGACAUCACACUGAAAUCUGAUUAGCACCAGAGUACAGUAUGGGGCAGCUUUUUUAAGAGCCUUGCAAACCAAAUCCUCGGCAGUGGUUCAACUGAUCUCCCCAGAGGACUUCCUCAAGGAAGCCGGUGAACUGGGACGCUCGGGUGGCAAGCAGAGAAAUUAACUUGUGACAAUCCUUGUCCAAGUCUUGAAAGUGGAGCAUCUGCUUCUUGGCCUCCAAAGUAAAACAAUCCAAUAAUUACAGUCCUUGGUGCUUUUUUUCUACCUCAGGAAACAUUUUGCAACUAACUAGCAAUUUCCAAAAAUAUGGCUCAAGCAACACAUCUCCUUAUCUCCUCGUGUAAGAGAGGGUGUGAGCUGUAACGUGCAGGGGCUUGUUAUCUUACGGGGUUCUGGCAAGGUGCUCCUGAGGACAGCUUUUAAUUGGGUAAGCGUGUGAUAUCUAGGUCUGGGGCUUUGAAGCUAACUUCCAGGAGAAGCCGACGCCCCAUUUCCAAGGCAUCUAGUUAAGACAGAUUGAAAAGGCAACCGGGAUAGGCAGGGGCAGGGACCAGUGGGGAAGGAGACAAGUAAAUUUCUUGGCAUUUUCAUACACCUCUCUGGAGACUGGGAUUUUGUGUUCGAUUUUUCAGAGAUCCCAGGUUUUUGGAAGUGGUUCAGGGAGAAAGACAAGAAUCCCAGGUGAUCAGCCCACUCAUCACUAUAAGUAGCAGGUGGCCAGACGUAAGGACUAUAAAUGCUGCCGUCACUCAUGGCGCCCAGGGAUUGCGUGAUGGUGGGACCCCACUGAAAAGGUAUUCUUUUCACUUAAAUCAGAGGGGAAAAAAAAAAUAUUAAAAUUG